UUAGUCUUUUCUUAUGUGAACUACUCUGUUCACAAUUUGUAUACCUGUGACUUUUUCCAUAAGAAUGAUUAUUAAUAAAUAAAUAAUUUAUUAACAAUUCCCUGACAAGACAGGGAUGGGAUUCUCCUGGGGAAGUAUACUUUCCUCAUGUUUCUUUUAAAGAUGUCAGAUAACUACCUUAAUUGCACAGAAUCAAAGCCAAACUCUAUUGACGUCAAUGCAGUUACCUGGGUUUUAAUAAUAUCAGAUAAAUAUAAAAAACAGUAUCAAGCAAAAAUUCACAGAGAAUAAUAAAACACCCACACAAACCUCCCGUUGAGAUGUUCCUGGUGCUGACACUUCCCUUAUUUGGAAUGUAUGGCUGUAGUGCCUAUGACUCUGUGCUCAGACCAGAGCUCUCCUUUGAAUCGUCUCUUUUCCCCUUGAGAAAAUAAUGUGCAGAAAAUGCCUCUAACACCUCGGUAAUGAGAUGAGAUUAGCACUAGAAAAACAGCUCCAGACUCAGAAAAUAUCAGGGACCUGGUAGCAGGAAUAGGUUCUGCAACCCCUUUCCACUCCUUGAAGAUGCAGGACUGCCCCUGUUCGAGCUCCAAUGUGGUGCAGCCGAGUAACACUUGAGCUGAGUGACGUGGAAGGACCAGUGUGAGAAAGUCCUGAGAGAAAACAUCUAGGGCCAAGACACCUUGGCACUUGGGCAGGGGCCCUUGUAAAGCUUGUGCUCCCCAUGGGCAGAUCUGUGCUCAGCCCUGCACCUUGCUGGUCCCAGCCUUACUGAACCGGCUGCAUGGCUUCACUCCAAACCUGUCCUGUCACAGCUGAUCUGUGUGGCCAGCACUGCAAGCUAACGCCAUCCCAUCCACAGCACACCCAGGACUGGUAAUUUAGCCACAACAAAAAGCUUAAAGAGCCAUAGCUAUUGAGUAAGCAAUGACUUUGAAGCACAUGCAAGUAGAAAAAUUGAUGUGCAGAAAAGAUCAUUUAGCAUUCAUUUGGUUUCCCUGACACUAAUUAUAACAGGAAGAAGAGUUCCCUCUGUUUAUUGACAGGGAUUGAGUGAAUGUAUUUCUUAGCUUCCUAACCCAAACUAUCAAAGAUGAUUUUUGAUUUUGCUCUGAAAAUAAGAGUUUUAGAAUUUUACUGAAUAAAAGCAGCAUCACCUGGGCACUGGAGCCAUGCCCUUGAUGGCUAUCAGCUGCAGCAGCUCUAAGGAAACAGUGGAGAUACCCUGCUGCUGGUCUACACUAGGGAAGGAAGUGACAUCCUGGGAAAGCUGCUUGCUCAGUGGCCCUAGAACAUCUCAGUAAUUCCAGGUCAAGAGACAAAUUCUGACACCUCUGUGGCAGCAAGAUGAUCAUCGCCAAAAUGAAAAACACAGACAACACAGACAACGCCAGCAGCCUGUCAAGCAUAACUUCACGGUUCAGUGGUGCUACCGAAUGCCAAGGAGUCAAUCCUCAGCAACAGACUGCUGAGGCUCUUUUGGGACUAAUUAGUUUGAGAAGAAAACAGCUGCCACAGUUUGGAAAGACUAAUUGGGGGUCAGCUACUUUUGUUCCAUCUCUCCUUGCCAUUUCUGUUUGAUUUCACUGGGAGCCCAGAGGUCCUGUGAUCUUUAUUACAACUUCAUAGUAGCCCUCAAAUGAAAGGACAAUUCAUCACAUAUCACUACAUUAACUACUUUUCAGGGGUACCUCUCCUUUUCAAACAGCAAGGUUCAGCACUUGCACAACUGGUAGAUACCCACGUGCUAAGCAUUAUUUAUUAUAAAUCAACUUUUUAAACUCUGUGGUAUAACUGGACAGCAACAAACCAACCAAGCUGUUUGACUUGGGUGGAGAUUGGGAUCUUUAGGAAAGCCUCUUACCCCAAGAACAGAUCAGAUCUUAGGAGGGAGGAAUGACAGCCCCAUGGUAAUGUCUCAUGCAAGUGGUCCAGCAGAGCUGACCUCUGGGGGAGCACCACAUCACAGGUACCCUGGCAAGGGAAGCCACAGCAAGGUAAAACCAAAGCAUUGAGCACAUUUCUGUGCUUAUUGCAAUCCCUUCAAAUCACUUUUCCCAUCUUUAGUCCUCACCUCACUACAACCCCAAGCAGCUCAUGCUUAGGAGCAAAGAACGCACUUUUAUCUAAUACAUGCCCAACCAGAUCUAGCUGAGGAGGCACUGGCCUCUAAUGCAAACUUGUAGGUUCUAACAGAUAAAAGUAAAACCAGGCAAUUUUACUUCUUACAUGCACAAGUCAGGAUUUCAAACCUUGGUUGAAGCUGCUGAGCCCCAAGCAGAGCUGGCAGCUGAGCAGCUCCUUGUCAUGUUGGAUGAAGAGAAGCUGCUGCCAGAGGCUGCCAAGCUGCAGCAAAGCUCCCAAUCUUAGGCUCCUGCAAGGAGAUGAAGGUUUGUAAAGCCAAGGCUGAUGGAGCUGCCUUGAGACCCUGCACCUGCCCACAGGCAGGGUUCACUCUGAGGUUUUCUAGCAGAGACAUGUACAGCUCCAAGUGAGUGGAAUCACCCAGCACUGUUUCCUUCCCCAGUGCCACAAGUCUAUCUUUGAAGUUUGGAGCAGAUUUUACUUAAACUCCAAAUUGCCUUUUGAAGACGUACUUGUUAUUUUUAAUCAGAUAGCAGAGGCAAUACAUUAAAAGACUCACGAAACUUUUAAGUCAGACCUCCUUCCCUAAAGAAAUAGUCACACAACACUCAAUUUUUAUGAGCUGGUGGAGUCAUCAGUUAAUCUGAGACAGAAACAGCAACAUACAUGUGAAAACAGGUAUGUAACAGUGUAACUCAGCACCAGGAAUUUCACAGUGGCAGCCUCACACUUCCAGAAACCUCCACCAUACUGAAAUUAGGGUAGCAUUUUGGGAUGCACUCUGAUCCACCUCUGGACUACUUCAGACAAGAACACUUCCAUUCCCUUCCUGCUCCUACAAUGUUUUACACCAAAUCUACCAUCCUCUAGCUUUGGUAUGACACCAUCACUUCACUAACCCUAUGAGAAAUUUUUUUUGGGUGGAUUUAUUUCCUAGUUUCCCUACAGGAAGGAAGAUGUAUGUUUUGCUAGACUUUACAUCCUGCAGGAAAAAACCAAACACGCAGAGAUUACCCCUGUUGGUGGCAGCCCUCAAUUGCCAUCAAGUCUGCCCUGAAAUGGGACUGACCAUCCCUGAAAUGGUACUUCACUGGUGUCACCAUUCAGAGCAGACAACACCACAAAAUAUGUACUUCAGACAGAAACCUUCUGGUCAUGAGAGUAACACUUAUCAGGGUGUGCUCACAACAGUUACACAAGGGAGGUAUGUGCCUGCACCAGAAGGAACAGAUGUCUUCCUGACAGGGAACACAGGGAUUAGUAAUCCCUCUUCCAGGCCCCCAAACAUGCAUGAAAACUCACAGCUUGGAAAUACAAACCUGGUUUAAACCCAAUGGAGAACAGAUUUACUUUUAGACAAAAGAAGCCAGGAUUAAACCCGUUUCUAAAUUAAAAACUGUGGGUUUGUAUUACAGCAAUAAAAAUCCACAUAAAGGGCACUUUGAAAAGCUUCAUGGCUUUACACCAUCGUUCCAGCACUGUUUACCACAGCUGCUAGUGCCCAGUGAUGACCCACUGUGAGGGCCACCUGCAACACAAGACACUGCAGAACAGAACCUGUAGCUCAAGGCACCCCUGCUGUAAUUAUCCAAACACAAGCUUUGCUUUUGUCCAAUCCAGGUUCUGCCAGAACAACCAGACUAGAAAAAGCAGCUUCACUGUGCACUGCAGCCUUGAUCUCAGAACUCAUACUGAAUCCAACAAAAAAAACCCAAACCCACUCUUUUCCUGGCAGGCAGCUGUGAAGGGCAAUAAAAGCCCCAGCGUUAACUCCUCAUUGGUCAAAACCUGUCACACCAUGUCAUACCAGGUUCCUGAUUUUGAUGGACCAGGUUUUUAUUUAUCCUGCUUCAAAAGGAAUCCAAUUCCUCAACACUGGCAUUUAGGACACUUCCAGAGAUAAGCAGGUGAACUUUGGGGACUUCUGCACUUAGGGUACCAUAUCUCCUCCUCUGCUCCUCCCUCCCCAAAUGAUGCUGGAGCUGGACACUGCACAGCUGGACUUAUGGCAACAGCCAGCUCCUCAGGGGCAGCACACACCAACUGCAGCAGUACCAGCUCCUGUGGCUGGAUUUGGGAGCUGUUGAAAACCACAGGAAAGGAAAAAAAACUCAAGCCAAAACCCAACUCAUAUAGUGAUUACCAACUGAAGCUUGUUUAAAAAAAGCCAAGCCUCCAAAGAUCACAAUACAGACAUCUGUCCUGUUUUAAGAAGCUGGCAGCUGCACUGUUGAUUACCCAACACCCACGUCUCAUCCAGGUUUCAAAUCUCCACUGUUGGAACAGCAUCUAGGGUUAAGGUGGUUUUUUUUUUUUUUGUUUUGUUUCAUUCAAGAGAUUAUCAUUGUGUGAUCAGCUUCACAAAUUUCAUUGAGCUGUGUAAAUACUUACUUUGAAAAGCAAUAAGGGGGUUGAGUCACAAAUGAAGAUUGACCAAAACCAAAUCCUUUAUUUCCACAACUGUAUAAAUGUGUUCCAAGUAUGUGUCCAACACAAGUUAGAAAAACAAAAUAGAACAUGCCAGUUGCAAACUAGAUCAGUUCACCGACGUGCUGACUCCUUGGUAUUAGGCUUAGUUACACAAGACCAGUCACAGUAAAAAGAUACAUUUUAGAG